rnacentral:rRNA from 1 species
CACACAGUUAGGUUUAGAGUUUGAUCCUGGCUCAGGACGAACGCUGGCGGCGUGCUUAACACAUGCAAGUCGAACGGAAAGGCUCUCUUCGGAGAGUACUCGAGUGGCGAACGGGUGAGUAACACGUGGGUAACCUACCUUUUGCUGGGGGACAACCGAGGGAAACUUCGGCUAAUACCGCAUAAUGUGCGGCUUCACAAGAAGUCGUACCAAAGAUAGCUUCGGCUUUCGGCAGAAGAUGGGCCCGCGGCAGAUUAGCUUGUUGGUGGGGUAACGGCCUACCAAGGCUACGAUCUGUAGCUGGUCUGAGAGGACGAUCAGCCACACUGGAACUGAGACACGGCCCAGACUCCUACGGGAGGCAGCAGUGGGGAAUAUUGCGCAAUGGGCGAAAGCCUGACGCAGCGACGCCGCGUGAGGGAUGAAGGCCUUCGGGUUGUAAACCUCUUUCAGCUCCGACGAAGCGAAAGUGACGGUAGGAGCAGAAGAAGCACCGGCCAACUACGUGCCAGCAGCCGCGGUA